GCGUCCAUAGCUCAGCUGGAUAGAGCAACGGCCUUCUAAGCCGUAGGUCAUAGGUUCGAGUCCUAUUGGGCGUG
rnacentral:tRNA from 1 species